rnacentral:rRNA from 1 species
ACGCACGCUGGCGGCAUGCCUCACACCUGCCAGUCGAACGAGACCUUCGGGUCUAGUGGCGCACGGGUGCGUAACGCGUGGGAAUCUGCCCUUCGGUUGGGAAUAACUGAGAGAAAUUUCAGCUAAUACCUUAUAAUGUCUUCGGACCAAAGAUUUAUCGCCGAGGGAUGAGCCCGCGUAGGAUUAGGCAGUUGGUGGGGUAAUGGCCUACCAAGCCGACGAUCCUUAGCUGGUCUGAGAGGAUGAUCAGCCACACUGGGACUGAGACACGGCCCAGACUCCUACGGGAGGCAGCAGUGGGGAAUAUUGGACAAUGGGCGAAAGCCUGAUCCAGCAAUGCCGCGUGAGUGAUGAAGGCCUUAGGGUUGUAAAGCUCUUUUACCCGGGAUGAUAAUGACAGUACCGGGAGAAUAAGCUCCGGCUAACUCCGUG